GGGUCGUUAGCUCAGUUGGUAGAGCAGCGGACUCUUAAUCCGUUGGUCGCGGGUUCAACCCCCUCACGACCCACCA
rnacentral:tRNA from 1 species